AAAAAUGGACUCGAUGUUAAAUCGAGAAUUGUAUGAUUUUGUGCUUUUUGAAAUUGGUUUGUGUUGUUGAUGAAUUGAUAUUGAAUAAAAUUGAAAAUGAUUUAUGAAGUGAUGAUGACAUGAAAUAGUUUUUUUUGUUUGAAAUAAUAUGAAGUUUGUGAGAGUGGAAGAAGUUAAUCAAUUUCUUUUUUAACAAAAUUAAUUUAUUAAAAUUUGAUUAAAU
rnacentral:lncRNA from 1 species